rnacentral:rRNA from 1 species
UACGGGGGGGGCAAGCGUUGUUCGGAAUUACUGGGCGUAAAGGGCUCGUAGGCGGCCAACUAAGUCAGACGUGAAAUCCCUCAGCUUAACUGGGGAACUGCGUCUGAUACUGGAUGGCUUGGAUUUGGGAGAGGGAUGCGGAAUUCCAGGUGUAGCGGUGAAAUGCGUAGAUAUCGGGAGGAACACCUAUGGCGAAGGCAGCUCGCUGGGACGGUACUGACGCUGAGACGCGAAAGCGUGGGGAGCAAACAGG